ensembl:misc_RNA Metazoa_SRP Metazoan signal recognition particle RNA
GAGUGGCGUAGCGGUGCACUUGGAGAGCUGAGGCAGGAGGAUUCUUGAGCCCUGGAGUCCUAGGCUGCAGUGUGUUAUGUCCAUCAGGUGUCUGCACUAAAUUGAGCAUCAAUAUGGUGACCUCCCAGGAGGGAGUGGGGGACUACCAGGUUGCCCAAGAAGGGGUGAACCAGCCAGUUGGAAAUGAGCAUCUCAAAAUGUCAGUGCUGAUCAGUAGUGAGAUUGCACCUGAGAACAGCCACUGUGCUUCAGCCUGGGCAACACAGAGACACCCAUCUCUU